UACGGAGGGUGCAAGCGUUAUCCGGAUUCACUGGGUUUAAAGGGUGUGUAGGCGGGCAGAUAAGUCAGUGGUGAAAUCCCCGAGCUUAACUUGGGAACUGCCAUUGAUACUAUUUGUCUUGAAUGUCGUGGAGGUUAGCGGAAUAUGUCAUGUAGCGGUGAAAUGCUUAGAUAUGACAUAGAACACCUAUUGCGAAGGCAGCUAACUACGCGAAUAUUGACGCUGAGGCACGAAAGCGUGGGGAUCAAACAGG
rnacentral:rRNA from 1 species